rnacentral:lncRNA from 1 species
GCUCAAAGGAGAGAGCUGCUUGCAAUCUUUCACCUGGUUUUGUUUUCCCCCAUGCACAGCAAUAAAAACCCCCGAUCUGCUUAUUCUCUACCUCUAGGCAAACGUCUUCAGUUACCUAUGGGAAGGGUCUCUUUAUUUCUUUUCCCCUGUCUGCUGCUCCUUCUCCUCCCUUCUGGCCAUCUCUUUGCCUUGGCUGCUUGAAUGUUUGCUCUCUCACUGUGCUGGCUCUCCACCUUUCCCCCCUGGGACAUUUCUUUUGGCUUGGUUUCCCUUUAGAGAAUCAUAACAUGUAGCUUCCGUUCCUGACUUUGCAGCUCCUGGUUACUCAGCUUCUGUGGUGCAGUGUCUAUCUGUGAAUGACCCUCCUCCCUUCUUCCCUGGCCUUUUCAACUCCCCUGUGUGAAUCACCCUGACUGAGGAGGGGGGGAGAAAGGAAGACCUUGGCAUUACUAACCCUUUAUGGAGAAUGUCACCAUUAUCCCAACCCAGUGGUGAGAGGAUGAAGAUCCAGUCAUCUGGCGAGUCAGGAUCCAAUCAGCUAACAGGCCAGAGCCCCACCCUCCAGGAUGCUCAGGACUUCCACGGGGCCAAGAGAACGGAUACACUAUGCAGGAGGUGGUCACUCCCUGGAAAUGGUCCCUGGCUCCCGGCUUGGCGACUUCUCCGCUUCCAGCCGCUUCUUCCAGGAGGAGCGGCCGCCAGCGUUUACUGCCUGGAGAGGAGACACUUUCUGCUCGAUGUGACGCGAUGAGGAGGCUGGCUGGAAGAGAGGACGCGGAGCCUAUGUUCGGCACUUUGGGAGAGUGGGCUGUUCCCUCCUGGGAGCCCAGUGGGCAAAAGACUUUUCCCUUCUCCCCACUGGCAGCCAAAGUGACUCUCAGCUUAACCCUUUGGGGCCUAGUCCUGGCUAGCUCUAUUCCCAAAGUGGAGGAGGUUUUUUUUUUUCUCCCUCUUGGUUCCAACUGGCAGGAGUUUUGACUUUUGAACUGUGUUCAGCUCAGCUCCAGUUGUAACUAAGAGCACCCGUUCACACCACUAGAUGAGCCAUAAAAGUUUACUGGAGAUGAACCAGGUCGUAAACAGGCUCAGCCUGGGAGUAAUUACUUAUCUGACACAAUUGGAGAGAAACUCGGCUCACUCUAGGUGGGAAAUCAGGAUAUGCCAGCUAGCAUACUCGAUUUAUGUUCUUUAAUCAGCAUAGAGGGUCAGCCCUCCUGUUGGGGUGAGGGUCUGGUUACUAAGACCCUGGUGACAUCACUGGGGUAGGGCUGGGAGGCAACAAUGCUGAAUUAACUGUGACCGCGCCCCCCCCCCAAAAAAAACCCCAUAAAAGUGCUUCCCAU